UGGGGAAUUUUGGACAAUGGGCGAAAGCCUGAUCCAGCAAUGCCGCGUGUGUGAAGAAGGCCUUCGGGUUGUAAAGCACUUUUGUCCGGAAAGAAAUCCUUGGCUCUAAUACAGUCGGGGGAUGACGGUACCGGAAGAAUAAGCACCGGCUAACUACGUGCCAGCAGCCGCGGUAAUACGUAGGGUGCAAGCGUUAAUCGGAAUUACUGGGCGUAAAGCGUGCGCAGGCGGUUUGCUAAGACCGAUGUGAAAUCCCCGGGCUCAACCUGGGAACUGCAUUGGUGACUGGCAGGCUAGAGUAUGGCAGAGGGGGGUAGAAUUCCACGUGUAGCAGUGAAAUGCGUAGAGAUGUGGAGGAAUACCGAUGGCGAAGGCAGCCCCCUGGCCAAGUACUGACGCUCAUGCACGAAAGCGUGGGGAGCAAACAGGAUUAGAUACCCUGGUAGUCCACGCCCUAAACGAUGUCAACUAGUUGUUGGGGAUUCAUUUCCUUAGUAACGUAGCUAACGCGUGAAGUUGACCGCCUGGGGAGUACGGUCGCAAGAUUAAAACUUAAAGGAAUUGACGGGGUCAUAGCUGUUUCCU
rnacentral:rRNA from 1 species